rnacentral:rRNA from 1 species
UACCUUAAUCAGGGGGAUAGCCCGAAGAAAUUCGGAUUAACACCGCAUAAAAACACAGGAUAGCAUUAUCCAAUGUUCAAAUAUUUAUAGGAUUAAGAUGGGCAUGCGUGUCAUUAGCUAGUUGGCGGGGUAACGGCCCACCAAGGCGACGAUGACUAGGGGAUCUGAGAGGAUGACCCCCCACACUGGUACUGAGACACGGACCAGACUCCUACGGGAGGCAGCAGUAAGGAAUAUUGGUCAAUGGAGGCAACUCUGAACCAGCCAUGCCGCGUGCAGGAAGACUGCCCUAUGGGUUGUAAACUGCUUUUAUCCGGGAAUAAACCUAAGUACGUGUACUUAGCUGAAUGUACCGGAAGAAUAAGGAUCGGCUAACUCCGUGCCAGCAGCCGCGGUAAU